rnacentral:ribozyme from 1 species
CCGGUUCGGUUGUGUUGCGCAGACGCUUGGAGUCGGAAUACGGCUUCAAGCCCAAGCACAAGAUGAAGAUGGGCUACUUCAGCUACAUGGCUGAGAAGCAAGGGGGGGCAGAGGCGGC